GUUAUAUUAUCUUUUAAAUCAAUCUUUGAAAAUACUAUACAAGGUAACAAGUUUUAGUAAACUAAAGAUGUAAAAGGCAUUUAUGGUGACCGGUUUGAUCUACCGUUCUCUCUAAAGUAUAACUGUAUGAAUUAAUGAUCUAGCUUCUUGUGGCUUGGAAUAUCAAGAUCUUCACAACAUUUAUACAAGAGCUGGUGAAAGAUGUAUUUCUCAAGUUGUCUUUUUCUCGUGUUGUGGGUGCAAAAUAGUUGGAAAGCAAGCUCGAACCCUCUUGUCAAAUCGCCUUUCUUUAUUAAGUCUAAGGAUGAUAAAACCCAACCUAGUCUCCUCAAACCGUGGCAUGAAGCUACAAAGAAUAUUCCCAGAAUGUAUAUGAGUACACAAAGGUUUCCACGUGGUCGUGAUUUUAAUUUGGCACAUAGAAAAGGAAAACUAGGUACCAAUAAAUUAAAACAAGAGAAAACUAUCUCAUCAAGAAAUAUUAUAGGUUUUCCGAUUUCGCAAA